rnacentral:lncRNA from 1 species
CGAUCCCCGAGCGCGCUUACAUCGAUUCCGGAACUCCAUCAAUCCGAACGGAGUUCCGGAAUCGACACGGAGAGCCGCGGACAUCGAUGCAGCGCCGUCCAGACUGGUGAGUACCUCGAUUUUAGAAAUUCGACUUCAGCUACGUUAUUCUCGUAGCUAAAGUUGCAUAUCUAAAAUCGAUUUUAAUUCCUAGUCUGGACGUGGCCUGAAGGGAAUACUCACAGAGGCUUUGCUACUCUGCUUUAUUUUGGUUAUAUUAAAGCAAGAACACCAACAACCCACAACCCUGUAAAUGAACCAGAAACCCUGGAACAGGGUUAAUUUGCUUAACAAGGAGGAAACCCCCAUGACUGGAAUCAGAGUCUGAGAAGAGUUGUGCAGAGACGUAAGGGCCAUGACAUUCUAAGAUCCCAAUCCUGCAGGAUACUGAGUGCCUUCAACUUCCAUUGACUCUGACGGGACUUGAGAUGACCCAUCCAAGGGUGCUGCAUUACAAGCAACAGUCCAUAUGUGGAGUUGAACAGGUGUUGCCCUCUGAAACUCAGACCGAUUUUCCCUAGCUGGGACAGUCUGUGGCUAGACCAUGGACAGAGAUAUUAUCCAGACAUUGAAGCAAUUUGUGUCUGUGAAUCAAAAUCAGCCUGGGCAGAAGCCAGUGGAAUUCAACGUGAACAAUCAAUUUAAAGCCAGUGGAAUUGUGCCUACUUGUGCCAUGGGUGAAUUUGGCCCUAAGUUGAUUAAUUGUAUUGUCAUAAUUAAAACUUCUGAUUCAUGAUGUUAAUAUUCUGAGCCUACAAAAUAUAUCUACUAUUUAUGUUAGUUUGUAAGAUCAAUGCCAUAUCUAUAGUGAAUCAGGAAAGUUAAGAGAGAAAUAUCAUUACUUGUGUUGAAGAAUUUUAGUUUGGCACAAUUUUUUUAAAUGCUGAUGUAGAACAUCUCUGUGUGUGGUUUGUACAAAUGUAUUCUGUUCUAUAGCUUGUUUGUGAAUUAAUUGUUAUGAGUAUUCCACUGAAAGAGAUAUUGAGGAUUUGUAGGUAGGGCCCUACCAAAUUCAUGGUCCAUUUUGGUCAAUUUCACAGUCAUAGGAUUUUAAAAAUUGUAAAUUUCAUAAUUUCAGCUAUUUAAAUGUAAAAUUUCACAGUGUUGUAAUUGUAGGGAUCCUGACUCAAAACAGCGUGUUGUGUGUGUGUGUG